rnacentral:rRNA from 1 species
AUUGAACGCUGGCGGCAGGCUUAACACAUGCAAGUCGAGCGGAGAUGAGGUGCUUGCACCUUAUCUUAGCGGCGGACGGGUGAGUAAUGCUUAGGAAUCUGCCUAUUAGUGGGGGACAACAUUCCGAAAGGAAUGCUAAUACCGCAUACGUCCUACGGGAGAAAGCAGGGGAUCUUCGGACCUUGCGCUAAUAGAUGAGCCUAAGUCGGAUUAGCUAGUUGGUGGGGUAAAGGCCUACCAAGGCGACGAUCUGUAGCGGGUCUGAGAGGAUGCGCGGCCACACUGGGACUGAGACACGGCCCAGACUCCUACGGGAGGCAGCAGUGGGGAAUAUUGGAGAAUGGGCGCAAGCCUGAUCCAGCCAUGCCGCGUGUGUGAAGAAGGCCUUCGGGUUGUAAAGCACUUUCAGUAGGGAGGAAGCGUUGUGUGUUAAUAGUACACAGCGUUGACGUUACCUACAGAAGAAGCACCGGCUAACUCUGUGCCAGCAGCCGCCGUAAGAC